AGUGAACGCUGGCGGUAGGCCUAGCACAUGCAAGCCGAACGGCAGCACAGUAAGAGCUUGCUCUUACGGGUGGCGAGUGGCGGACGGGUGAGGAAUACAUCGGAAUCUACUUUUUCGUGGGGGAUAACGUAGGGAAACUUACGCUAAUACCGCAUACGACCUACGGGUGAAAGCAGGGGAUCUUCGGACCUUGCGCGAUUGAAUGAGCCGAUGCCGGAUUAGCUAGUUGGCGGGGUAAAGGCCCACCAAGGCGACGAUCCGUAGCUGGUCUGAGAGGAUGAUCAGCCACACUGGAACUGAGACACGGUCCAGACUCCUACGGGAGGCAGCAGUGGGGAAUAUUGGACAAUGGGCGCAAGCCUGAUCCAGCCAUACCGCGUGGGUGAAGAAGGCCUUCGGGUUGUAAAGCCCUUUUGUUGGGAAAGAAAAGCAGCAGGUUAAUACCCCGCUGUUCUGACGGUACCCAAAGAAUAAGCACCGGCUAACUUCGUG
rnacentral:rRNA from 1 species